UCUUAUGAAGCUUCAAAAUGUUGUGUUUGACGGAGGGGCUGGAGGAUCAUUUUGGCAACCCUCAGAACCACCCAAAACGGCAAUGUUUUGGGCCUCUGAGUGGAUGGCCAAAACGACAAUCCCCUGUGCCGUUUUGCUUGGCGUACUUUCUUGUCGUCUUGCCUGCUGCUUGCCCGAUCGUUGAUGUUCUGCUGUGUCUUUAUUUAUCCCGAUUGCUACCGUUGGAGCUUCCUUUAUAUCCACUACAGUGGUCUCGAGAUCAGCAGUGCACACAGCCUUCGAUUACCUUCCUUUGUUUGGUUUGAUCUGAUCAUUCUCUGUAAUUCCUUUCUCUCUCUGUAUAGUUUACGUAUGUUUAUUUUCUCUUUAGGGUUUGGUUUCUGACCUUUAGUUCUGUGGUUAUGGGGCCGAUUUGAAGGUGAGAAUCGUUUUGUACAGUGAGGGUUGAGAGUGAAUCUGUGUAUAUUGAGGUUGUAAUCAUUUUUAUUCCAAUAAUGGAGUGAGCUUUCUUUGCCGGAUCUUAACGUGAAUAUAACCCUUAUUAAUGGAAGAACCACGAUAAAUCUUUUGUCGUUUUGUGUUUGAUUUUGUUUGAUUAUUGCAUGCUCACAGUAUUGAAUAUUCAGUGUUUGCUGCUUUGAAUACUUGGUGGAGGCUUAUCUUUUCAUAACAGAAAGCUUUAAGCCAGAGACGUUGGUUGCUUCUCAAUAUAAAUCGUUCUUCUUCAACACCCUUCAAUCUGUUCCCCAAGAAAGGAAGAAUGGGAGAACUGCUUCUGUUCAAUGUGGUAGAACUCAUUCUGUCCAAGCUAGGCGAACUUCUAGUCGAGGAACUCUUCCUGGCAAACGGAGCAGAUGCCGAGCUCCGGAAGCUUGAAACCGCUUUGUCGUCAAUCAAACUGGUCCUAUUGGACGCAGAGGAGAACCAGUCAACGAACGUCGAGGUUCACAAAUGGCUCGCCAAUGUCAAGGAUGCUUUCGCCGACGCCGAUGAUCUUCUGGACGAGGUCGAAUUUGAAGCUCUCAAGAACCAGGUUAGGGGAAAGUUAUGGAACUAUCUUACAAGCAGUAGUUCAAUUACUUUCCGCCUUUCAGUUGUUAGCAGGAUCAAGGAGAUGACAGAGAGGUUACAUUUAAUUGAUGGUGGGAAAAAAAAUUUUGGGCUUUCUGAGAGGUCUUCGGAUCCGCGUAAUGCGCGUAUACAGAGGGAGACGAGCCAUUCUUUUGUUCGUCGCGUCGAUGUGAUAGGAAGAAGAAGGGAUGAAGAAGCCAUUGUUGAGAGGUUGAAUGAUGCUCGGGAACAUGUUUCUGUCAUUCCCAUUGUGGGAAUUGGGGGCUUGGGGAAGACAACAUUGGCUAGGUUAGUGUACAAUAAUGAGCGGGUUGCUAGGCAUUUUGGGCUGAAGAUGUGGGUCGGUGUUUCUCAGGAUUUUGAUAUGAAUGUGCUGAUGAGAAAGAUCAUUGAAUCUGCAACGAGCUCGGCCUGUGCUGAGCUAGACAGUGAUCAGUUGCAGCGUAUGCUUCGGGGUUGUUUGGCCGAUAAGAAAUUUUUACUGAUCUUGGAUGAUAUGUGGGACAGCGACCAAGGAAAAUGGAGGGAACUGAUAUCUCUCCUCAUGGGUGGUCGCAGAGGAAGCAAAGUCAUUGUCACCACUAGGUCUAAAGCAGUUGUUUCCAUUGUGGGCAGCGAUCAUCGUUAUGAACUUGGUGGACUUGCUUGGAGAGAUUGCUUCUCUUUGAUUCUGGAAUGGGCUUUUCCAAAAGGAGAAGAUCAGAGUAGGCAUCAGAACCUCCUCGACAUCGGAGAGCAAAUUGCAGUGAGAUGUAGGGGAGUUCCAUUAGCUGCAAGGACUCUAGGAAGCCUGCUGUACAAAAAAACAGACGAACGUGAUUGGCAGCGUGUGCGAGACAGUGAAAUAUGGAGGUUACAAGGUCAGGGGCAAGAGCAUAUCCUGCCUGCUCUGAAAUUGAGUUAUGAUUACUUACCAUCUUACCUGAAACCAUGUUUUGCAUACUGUUCAAUUUUUCAAAUGGGGCAAUACAUUAACAAGGAUAAGUUAAUUCACCUGUGGAUGGCACAAGGGCUGAUUCAGUCAAGUCCUGGCCAAAAUCAAGAGCCUGAAAGCAUCGGGGAUCAGUAUUUUGAUCAGUUGUGUUCAGCAUCACUCUUUCAAGACGUUGAAGAGAAUGGCCCCUUGUCUGUAACCUUUAGAAUGCAUGAUCUUGUACAUGCACUUGCACAGUCUGUAGCACAAACAGAAUGCCUAAAGAAGAAAUCCCAUACGAAAGCUGUAUCUAAUAUGGUUCGGCAUGUUUCCUUACUGGGUUGUGAUUUGUCAGGACAGGGAGUAGAAAAAUCCCUCCUGAAACUUCAGAAGCUGCGGACCAUUUUCUUUCCACGGGAUGGGAUAAGAUCCACUCAUGAUCGUUUUGUAGAUGAAUGCAUCAAAACUUUCCUGUACUUGAGAGUGAUCGAUUUGGAGGAUUCAUGUUUUGAAGUCUUACCGAAAUCUGUUGGUUACUUGAAACAUUUGAGGUUCCUUGACCUCAGUUGGAACUGUAGCAUCAAAGAACUCCCUGCUUCCAUUUGCAAGCUGCUGAAUCUGCAGACUCUGAGAAUCUCAUAUUGUAAGGCGUUGAAGAGGUUGCCUAAAAAUAUAGGGAACUUGAUUGGCCUUAGACAUCUCUAUGUAACCACACAACAGGAAUCUUUCCCUGAGAAAGCAAUCGGAUGCUUGACUUCUCUUCAGUCUCUGUGGAUCACCGGUUGUGCCAACCUUGUUUGUUUGCCAGAAGAAAUUCAGUGCCUCAGAGCUCUUCGGACAUUAGCUAUCAGCAGAUGCCCGAGAUUAGCAUCUCUUCCAAAAUGCGUAGCAAGUCUUGCCAAGUUAGAGAACCUGAUGAUCAAUGACUGUGAAAAGCUCAACUUGGAUGAGGGGAGAAUCACUGUAAUUGCAAACCUUGGCAUCAGGACAAUGGUAUUUACAGAAUUACCAAACUUUGUGAAUUGGCCCCAUUGGCUGCGUGGCACAGCCAGGAGUGUAAAUUACCUAAGGAUUGCAUUCUGCCCCAGCCUCCGGAAAUUCCCAGAGUGGCUGCAAAACUCAGCGUCGCUUCAGAAACUUGAGAUUUUGGGAUGCCCGGAAGUGUCAGCAUUGCCAGAGGGAUUCCAACACCUCCGGACACUGAAAGUACUGAGGGUUAAAGAGUGUAGCAGGCUGGCUCGUACACUACACCCAGAAACAGGAAGAGACUGGCAUAUGGUAGCUCAUGUCCCAGAAUUAUACAUCAACAACGCCAGGAUCACCUCCUCUCAUUAUUAGCUUGGUUUGUAAACUUCAGUAAGGACCAAAGAUCAAUUUGGAGGCAGCAAUUUCAGCUUCAAUCGGGUUUCUACAACUUAAGGGAAAGCGAUAGUGGGCGAUGAGGCUAGUCACGCCUGAUGGUGAGAGAUGCAUAGUGUAUACAGAGUCACCUCGAGCGGAGAAUCCUGGGGAGUGUCUUGUUUUCUUUUUAACAGGGCAUGGGAGAACAAUUGUCUUCAUGUAAUUUUGUUUCAUGCCACCAUUUUUUUUUUUUUUUUUUGGUAUUAUAUGGGUUGUUAAGCCCAGACCAAACAUGUUACUUGAUUGUGUUGUAUGAAUGUCAAGUUCUCUACGUAAAUGUUAGUAUAAUGUCAUGAAAGUACUAUUGGGAUGCUUUGUUUCCAUUUCUUAGCGACCUUUUCAUGGAUUGCCUAUGCUAGUAGGUACUCUAGGAGGCAGACCGUGACAGUUGUGUAUUAGAAUUUGUCAUUUUGAAAGAGUAGUAUGAUCAUUAUUUGUAUAUUGAUAUUU